rnacentral:rRNA from 1 species
UACGAAGGGGGCUAGCGUUGCUCGGAAUCACUGGGCGUAAAGCGCACGUAGGCGGAUUGUUAAGUCAGGGGUGAAAUCCUGGAGCUCAACUCCAGAACUGCCUUUGAUACUGGCAAUCUAGAGACUGGAAGAGGUUAGUGGAAUUCCCAGUGUAGAGGUGAAAUUCGUAGAUAUUGGGAAGAACACCAGUGGCGAAGGCGGCUAACUGGUCCAGUACUGACGCUGAGGUGCGAAAGCGUGGGGAGCAAACAGG